UACGUAGGGUGCGAGCGUUAAUCGGAAUUACUGGGCGUAAAGCGUGCGCAGGCGGUUUUGUAAGCCAGAUGUGAAAGCCCCGGGCUUAACCUGGGAAUGGCAUUUGGGACUGCAAGGCUUGAGUGCGGCAGAGGAGACUGGAAUUCCUGGUGUAGCAGUGAAAUGCGUAGAUAUCAGGAGGAAUACCGAUGGCGAAGGCAGGUCUCUGGGCUGACACUGAGACACGAAAGCCAGGGGAGCGAACGGG
rnacentral:rRNA from 1 species